CACUUGCUGAAAUAUGACUCCAUGCUGGGAACUUUCAAAGCUGAUGUGAAAAUAGUUGACAAUGAAACCAUCAGUGUUGAUGGGAAGCCCAUCAAGGUCGUCUCUAACAGGGACCCUCUCAAGCUUCCUUGGGCUGAACUUGGUAUCGACAUUGUAAUCGAGGUAGGUCCUUUGCCCUUAAGUGCCCUUAAACAUAUCCUGCAAUCUAUUAUUCAGCUUGUUCUAAAGAGUAUUAAUUAUAAUUGAAUCAUUUGACAUGCACCUUAAAGGGAACUGGAGUCUUUGUAGAUGGCCCUGGAGCUGGAAAGCACAUACAAGCUGGUGCCAAGAAAGUUAUCAUAACCGCUCCAGCUAAAGGUGCAGACAUUCCAACCUAUGUUGUUGGAGUCAACGAAGGGGAUUACGACCAUGAGGUCUCGAAC
rnacentral:lncRNA from 1 species